rnacentral:misc_RNA from 1 species
AGCAGCCGCGGUAAUUCCAGCUCCAAUAGCGUAUAUUAAAGUUGUUGCAGUUAAAAAUGCUCGUAGUUGAAUUUCGGGAUUGGCGCAUCGGUCGUGCCUUACGAGGUAUGAACUGGUGCAGUCAAUUUCUCACCUUCUGGAGAACCGCGAUGUCCUUAAUUGGGUGCCGCGGGGAACCAGGACC